rnacentral:lncRNA from 1 species
CCAAGCACAGUACUAAACCAUAAACAUAACUCCACUUAACUUUACAUUACAUUCUCUUACAAAUCAUUAUAUCAAUUUAUAAUACAUGUCCACACUAAAAGUACUAAGCUAAUACUAUUACAUAAGCAAAACCUUUACUCUUGAGACUUCCCGAUCAACCUCAAACCUGCAACACUGGGGUUAGGGGAGAGGGGUGAGCUAAAAAAGCCCAGUGAGUAGAAACAAGGAAAACAGUUCAUUAAUUACGUGCUUUCAUGAAAUGCGUCACAGCACAAACAAAUCAUAUCACGGAUUGGACCCAACCCCAAAACAUCCCUAAGCUAUUUGCCCGGCCACCAUAGAGGGCACCACAGGACUUCGUAAUGCCUGGCCCAGCCAGGUCUUAUCCAUAGGGCUAGUGGGGUCGUCCUUGGUCCAAUCUCCAUCAACAGUAAAUAAUGCAAUGCUUCAUAUUCGUGUAACUAGUGCAAUCAACCUAUUACAUAUAAACAUGAUGCAUGAGCAUGCUUUAGGCAUUUGAUUUCAUAAAAUAAAGAUUAAGUUUAGUUCUACUCACCUCUGGCAGACGCUGAACUGACUCCGCAACAGCUAA